rnacentral:rRNA from 1 species
UCGAGAAUCUUGGGCAAUGCGCGAAAGCGUGACCCAGCCAUGCCGCGUGCAGGAUGAAGGCCUUCGGGUUGUAAACUGCUUUUGUACGGAACGAAAAGACUCCUUCUAAUAAAGGGGGUCCAUGACGGUACCGUAAGAAUAAGCACCGGCUAACUACGUGCCAGCAGCCGCGGUAAUACGUAGGGUGCGAGCGUUAAUCGGAAUUACUGGGCGUAAAGCGUGCGCAGGCGGUGAUGUAAGACAGAUGUGAAAUCCCCGGGCUCAACCUGGGACCUGCAUUUGUGACUGUAUAGCUAGAGUACGGUAGAGGGGGAUGGAAUUCCGCGUGUAGCAGUGAAAUGCGUAGAUAUGCGGAGGAACACCGAUGGCGAAGGCAAUCCCCUGGACCUGUACUGACGCUCAUGCACGAAAGCGUGGGGAGCAAACA